rnacentral:piRNA from 1 species
UGACCCGGUCAAGGGGUGCUAUUCAGUGGU